rfam:Picea glauca, whole genome shotgun sequence.
AUGUAUAUUCCUACAUAAUAGCGUUAAUGCAACGGAUCCCAUUAGAACUCCAUAGUUAAGCACACUUGGGCUAGAGUAUUAUUGGGAUGGGUGACUACCCAGGAAGUCCUACUGUUUUACAUG